UGCAUUAUUACUUAAAGACGCCUUUCAACAAUACGCCACAAAAGUAAGAAUGUAGCGCCAUUCUAACAUCAUAUUAGCACAUUGGCAUUAUCACUUUUCCCCACACGCGUGCACGCACACUGUAGAAAUAUUUCAACAACAAGAAAUUUACUACCGAUAUCGUUUUCUCUCAUCAUGUGUUUUGGUCCGGUUCGCAUAUGGCGUGAAGCCUGAAACAAGGUUCUGUGGAUGUCGUGAUCCUGAACGACAACCAACAAAUCAAGGACAUUUUGUCCAGACCGGAGGUUCAGGACCGCCCCACCACAUGGGGUCUCAGCUCUGCCCAAAAAGGUUUUUCGACCUUCAGUGGACAGAAAUGGAAAGAAAACAGGGACUUUUCCAUGCGAGCAUUGGCGAAGCUUGGACUCGGGAGCGAGGUCAUGCGCCAGCACAUACAGUUCGAAGCCAGGCACCUAGCGGACACUUUGGCUUCGCAUCAUGGCCGUCCCGUGUCGAGCUUCGUGUAUGGGCACAGGAGCCACAUUAACUCCAUCUGCCGCUUUCUCCUGGGAUACCGCUACGAUUUGGACGAUCCGCACUUCGCGUCGCUGCAGGAGGCUCUCUCAGGUUUCCGGCUGCAGGCAGCAGCUGCGCCCAUCGAACACCGCGCCGCUUGGCUGCGACGUAUGCUGAUCGAGCCUCUCUGGCCUACCUCCGUCAGCGCAAAGCGUCGCCAUAAUAUAUCGAUGAUCA